UAGCUUGCUACCUGACCUAGCGGCGGACGGGUGAGUAAUGCUUAGGAAUCUGCCUAUUAGUGGGGGACAACAUUCCGAAAGGAAUGCUAAUACCGCAUACGCCCUACGGGGGAAAGCAGGGGAUCUUCGGACCUUGCGCUAAUAGAUGAGCCUAAGUCAGAUUAGCUAGUUGGUGGGGUAAAGGCCUACCAAGGCGACGAUCUGUAGCGGGUCUGAGAGGAUGAUCCGCCACACUGGGACUGAGACACGGCCCAGACUCCUACGGGAGGCAGCAGUGGGGAAUAUUGGACAAUGGGCGAAAGCCCGAUCCAGCCAUGCCGCGUGUGUGAAGAAGGCCUUUUGGUUGUAAAGCACUUUAAGCGAGGAGGAGGCUACUUGGAUUAAUACUCUAGGAUAGUGGACGUUACUCGCAGAAUAAGCACCGGCUAACUCUGUGCCAGCAGCCGCGGUAAUACAGAGGGUGCGAGCGUUAAUCGGAUUUACUGGGCGUAAAGCGUGCGUAGGCGGCUUUUUAAGUCGGAUGUGAAAUCCCUGAGCUUAACUUAGGAAUUGCAUUCGAUACUGGGAAGCUAGAGUAUGGGAGAGGAUGGUAGAAUUACAGGUGUAGCGGUGAAAUGCGUAGAGAUCUGGAGGAAUACCGAUGGCGAAGGCAGCCAUCUGGCCUAAUACUGACGCUGAGGUACGAAAGCAUGGGGAGCAAACAGGAUUAGAUACCCUGGUAGUCCAUGCCGUAAACGAUGUCUACUAGCCGUUGGGGCCUUUGAGGCUUUAGUGGCGCAGCUAACGCGAUAAGUAGACCGCCUGGGGAGUACGGUCGCAAGACUAAAACUCAAAUGAAUUGACGGGGGCCCGCACAAGCGGUGGAGCAUGUGGUUUAAUUCGAUGCAACGCGAAGAACCUUACCUGGUCUUGACAUAGUAAGAACUUUCCAGAGAUGGAUUGGUGCCUUCGGGAACUUACAUACAGGUGCUGCAUGGCUGUCGUCAGCUCGUGUCGUGAGAUGUUGGGUUAAGUCCCGCAACGAGCGCAACCCUUUUCCUUAUUUGCCAGCGGGUUAAGCCGGGAACUUUAAGGAUACUGCCAGUGACAAACUGGAGGAAGGCGGGGACGACGUCAAGUCAUCAUGGCCCUUACGACCAGGGCUACACACGUGCUACAAUGGUCGGUACAAAGGGUUGCUACCUAGCGAUAGGAUGCUAAUCUCAAAAAGCCGAUCGUAGUCCGGAUUGGAGUCUGCAACUCGACUCCAUGAAGUCG
rnacentral:rRNA from 1 species